rnacentral:misc_RNA from 1 species
GAUGAAGAACGCAGCGAAAUGCGAUACGUAAUGUGAAUUGCAGAAUUCAGUGAAUCAUCGAGUCUUUGAACGCACAUUGCGCCCCCUGGUAUUCCGGGGGGCAUGCCUGUCCGAGCGUCAUUGCUGCCCUCAAGCACGGCUUGUGUGUUGGGCCCCCGCCCCCCGGUUCCCGGGGGGCGGGCCCGAAAGGCAGCGGCGGCACCGCGUCCGGUCCUCGAGCGUAUGGGGCUUCGUCACCCGCUCCGUAGGCCCGGCCGGCGCCCGCCGGCGACCCUCCCUCAAUCUUUCCAGGUUGACCUCGGAUCAGGUAGGGAUACCCGCUGAACUUAAGCAUAUCAAUAAGCGGAGGA